GCUACGGGGGGCAGCAGUGGGGAAUAUUGGACAAUGGGGGGAACCCUGAUCCAGCCAUGCCGCGUGUGUGAAGAAGGCCCUCGGGUUGUAAAGCACUUUCAGUGAGGAAGAACGCCUGGUGGUUAAUACCCAUCAGGAAAGACAUCACUCACAGAAGAAGCACCGGCUAACUCCGUGCCAGCAGCCGCGGUAAUACGGAGGGUGCGAGCGUUAAUCGGAAUUACUGGGCGUAAAGCGCGCGUAGGUGGCUUGAUAAGCCGGUUGUGAAAGCCCCGGGCUCAACCUGGGAACGGCAUCCGGAACUGUCAAGCUAGAGUGCAGGAGAGGAAGGUAGAAUUCCCGGUGUAGCGGUGAAAUGCGUAGAGAUCGGGCGGAAUACCAGUGGCGAAGGCGGCCUUCUAGACUGACACUGACACUGAGGUGCGAAAGCGUGGGUAGCAAACAGGAUUAGAUACCCUUGUAGUC
rnacentral:rRNA from 1 species